GGGGAUAUAACUCAAUCGGUAGAGUGUAUGCUUUGCAAGCAUGAAGUUAUCGGUUCGAUCCCGAUUAUCUCCA
rnacentral:tRNA from 1 species